rnacentral:lncRNA from 1 species
ACGGGUAAGAAAGAGGUCCAAAAGACCCAACGAUGCAGGAACAUCUGGAGCAGGAGACGAGGAGUAGGAGCUAUCACCGGCCAGUAUUGCCAUUUGAAUUCCGACCGCGCUAUUUUAUUUUAUUUUCUAUUCUAACGUUUUAUGGUCUUAUUUUCUAUUAAUUUUGAACUUAGUUUUUUUUAUUUUUUUUCUUAAUUAUGAGUUCGUAUUUCUUUUACAUGGUUUCUUUGUUU